AGCAUUGGGCACUUUGCUUUAGGCAGCUGGAUCACAGUUGGGUUCAGCUCCCAAGUAUGUGCUAAAAAAAAAAACCCAAAAAAUCUGAAAAAAACCCUGAAGUUGUGAACAAUGUCAGAAGAGAUUGGAAAUCCAAAGGCUUCCAUGGCUUGGCUCCAAAAUCAGAGUUUUGGUGUCUGUCCAGGAAGUGGAAGAGGGAUAGCAAGUGAGGGACUGAGCAUAAUUGCAGACAUUCCUUGGACAUGGAGGAAUCCUUGAGCCUGCUACCAUCUGGAAGCACUGGGCACAGCAGCUGAAGGGCUCCCUUACAUAUCUGUGACCAGCUCUGUGUUUUCAGAGCUCCUGCUGCAAAUCUGUGAUUCCCUCUAGAAUUCCAACACAUAACUGAGUAGAGUGGCCAGUUAUGGUGGAAUAUGAUUCUUUGUUCUUCAGCAUAUUUAUGUGAGCAUUGUCCAGCUUUCACUGUAGUUAAGAUCUGUUUCACUUUAGACUCACACUCUCAGAUAAGAUUGGAUACACAGUACUUUCUACCUCUGCCAAAAUAAUACAAGGGCAUGCUUGAUUUUCACUAUGGAAAAUAAAUUAGUUGCAGGAUCCUAAUGAAGAAGUACACAUGCAAGAGAUUUGGAAGAGUGAUAGCUGGAGUUCCUAAUGAUUUAAAUCAAUAGUUUGGUAAUGCAGGUCAUGCUGAAGAAUAUGUCUCUGCUGAUGAUGAUUAAAUAGAUGUACCUGCUUAGAAGAGCUCCUUAAUUGACUGCCUGCAUUAUCAUGUAAUGAUCCUGUUCAGCAUAACAGAGUUGCUAGAGUUAAGUACUUUUUAUAGAGAUCUCAGAGUCAUAGAAUGAUUUCCUGCAAUGGGCAGGGAAACCUUCCACUACACCAGGCUGCUCAAAGCCCCAUCCAUCCUGGCCUCAAACACUUCUAGGGAUGGGGCAUCCACAACUUCUCUGAGCAACCUGUUCCAGUGUCUCUCUGCUCCAGGUGGGUCUCAAAAGAGCAAAGGGGGAGAAAUGUCUCCAAGGGUGAGGCAGGCUGGCCACAUGUCUUUUGAUUUAGCCCAGGAUACACUUGGCAUUCUGGGCUACAAGAACACAUUGCCAGGUCAUGUUCAAUUUUUCAUCCACCAGCAUCCCCAAAUCCUUCUCCUCAGGGCUGCUCCCAAUGCCUUCAUCCCUCAUCCUGUAUUGAUACUGGUGAUUACCCUCACCCAGGUGUGGGACCUUGCACUUUCCCAUGUUGAACUUAUUGAGGUUUGCAAAGGCCCACUCUUCAAGGCUGUCAAGAUCCCUCUGGAUGGCACUCUGUCCCUCAGGAGUAACAGCUGCACUACUUAACUUGGUGUCAUUUGAGAUGAAUAACCUACUCUAAACUCAGACACUGAGGAGAGAAAUUUGGCUUUAAACACUGUGUUGUUUCCUAGAUAGGUAGUAAAUGGAUCAUAGCAAUAAACUUUGUAAGUUGUGUUACCUUCCUGCACUCUUCCCAUUUGACAUUGUGAAUUGUACUUGUUACAUAAUGUAGUAUUAUUCCCAAGUUAACUACUAUUGCAGCCUUUCCUGUGGCCUCUCUAGACCUGUGAAUAAAGUUAGGUGUUUUUACAACUAUGCCAUUUCUCAGGGUGUAGCCCUUGAUGGGACAUCUUUACCACCAAGGCAAUAAAUACAGCAAUUUACUGGCAUCACUGCAUCCACAGUAAUGUCCCCUCAGUGGUAAUUACAGGCUUAGGUAAUAAGUAGUAAAACAAUAAUUGAUGUGUGUGCUUUGGUCUACUAAAUCAGUCAUCCUUUAGAAAUUAUUUCUCUGUUACAACCAGGGAAGUGAAAUAUAAAGUACUAAAACUGAUUGAAAACAAAAAUAUGUUGGCUUAAAUUUGACCUUUACUUUUUAGAGACAGAUGCACAUGUUGAUAAUCAGGGAUCUACCUCUACCAGAGAGUAUCAGAGCAGACCCAAGAAAGCAAAGGAAAGAAUUCCUACAAGACAUUCCUGUAGCAGCAUGGAGCAUCCCAAACCAUGGGCUCCUCAGCACAAGAGAGACAUGUUGCUCCUACAGCAGGCCAAGUGGAGGGCAACAAAGAUGAUUAAGGGACUGGAGAAUGUGUCUUAUGAGGAAAGGCUGAGGAAGAUGGGCCUUUUCAGUCUUGAGAAGACAAGAAUAAAAGCAGACCUCAUUGAUGUAUAUGAGUAUCUGAAGGGUGGGUUCCAAGAAGAUGGAGCCAGGCUCUGCUCAGUGAUGCCAAGCAAUGGGACAAGAGGCAACAGGCAGAAACUGAUGCAGAGGAAGUUCCACCUCAGCAUGAGGAAGAAUUUCUUUACUGUCAAGCUGACCACGGACUGGAACAGGUUGCCCAGAGAGAUUGUGGAGCUUCUCUCAGCAGAGAUUUCCAAGAACCAUCUUGGUGCAAGUCUGUGCAAUGUGCUCGAGCAUGGCCCUGACUGAGUAGGAAGGCUGAACCAGAUGAUCACUGCCAUUCCUCCCAAUCCUAUCCAUUCUGUGAUUCUGUGAACAAAACACUAAAACAAUGUGCAAGGAAGAAAGAAGUGGCUUCUUCUUAGCCAAACAAGUAAGAAAUGCGGAUGCCAUUCCUGGUGCUAGUACACUUUAGUAGGCCUCUAACAAACCAGAGAAUAUUUUAUCAGUUCUCCAUUUUACAGUUCAAGACUUUAGCCUUAAGUAAGAAAAAGGACUUUUCAAAUUAAUAAGAAUGAAAGGAAACCAUCAUAGGCAGGAAUGGUAAAAGGAAUGAACUUUUUACUUCAUCAGCUAACAUGGUUCACAGUGCAAGAAUAUUGAUUCUGGUGACUGUAGGCUAUAAAAGAUUAAAUCUACUUUGCCCACUGGAGAAAUGAUAAAUAAGUACCCUUGUGUAAUAUUUUUAAGAUAACAGCUUUGUAUUAGUGAUCCAUUCAAUCUUGGAGCAUGUCUGAAGGGGUCAACAGCAAAAGCUUCCUGUGGGAGGGAGCCCAUGUUGGAGGAGGGGAAAGACUCCCCUCCCUGCAGUGGCAGAAGCAAUGUGUGGUGGACUGAGAAACCCCCAUGCCCCAUUUCCCUGCCUCUGCAGGGGAAGGAGGUAGAACUUGGAAGGAGGGAGGGGUGGAGGUCAGUGUUUUUAAGGUCUUACUUUAUUUCUCAUUA